rnacentral:rRNA from 1 species
UACAGAGACCUCAAGCGUUAUCCGGAAUCAUUGGGCGUAAAGCGUACCGAUAGGUUGUUUAUUAAGUCUUGGGUAAAAGCCGGAAGCUCAACUUCCGCGUUUGCUUAAGAUACUAAUAGACUAGAGGGGCAAAGAGGUGCUUGGAACCAACGGUGUAGUAGUGAAAUGCGUUGAUAUCGUUGGGAACACCGAAAGCGAAGGCAGAGCACUGGGUGCCACCUGACACUGCUAGGACGAAAGCGUGGGGAGCGAAUGGG